CUGUAAAUCCUCUCCUCCAAGUAUGGCAGGGAUGUUUCCCGUGUGGAGAAUGGCUCUUUUCCCCAGGUUGUGGAAUCGGGAGCUGACACAGAAUGGGGCCCUUGGCUCCAUCUGGAUCCAAAUCUGUUUUCCUGAGGAGCUCCAGUGUUACUCCUUGCUCCUGCCAACAGGUGGGGAACCACACCGCUGAAUUCCGGGCGGGAGCUCUGCGGAGCAGCGCGGCCCGAGCCGCUGCUCCAGCCCUGCUGCGGCUCCUACGGAGCUCGUUUGGCUCUAAGAGAACGCUUUAAAGGCGUUAGGUCUCCAUGCUGCCACUCAGGAUCGGGCCCGGAAGCAGGAGGGAAAGGAGGCGCUGGGAUCUGGGAGGUGCUGCCGGCACCGUGGCACAUUCAGAGAGCAGAAUGCACGCGUGGUCUUGCAGGCUGUUUGGAAAUGAGGGAUAGGACUGAGGAGCUAAAAGUCACUGACCCGAGUUCUGUGCCUCUUUCCAUUGUAUUUCCUUUCUGAAUUUCCUUUCUCCAGAAGAGCUGAACUGAUUUAGUCCUGAAGUCUUGCAGUGCUCAAGCACUUCAUUCCUUCUCAGGUUCUCACUUGGAAUUUCAGUGGGAAGGACCAGAUUGCAAGGAGGACACCCAGCUCUGUGCACGGAUUUCCAGCAAUGGUUCCCUGCACGCAGGAACAGCUGAGGAGCCACUUGAGAGCAGCCAGGCCCUGCCAUGGGACCCCACAGUUCUGCUGGGACUGGGAAGGCAGCUGUCCCCAGGACCCACAGGGUUUAUCCAUCAUGGAGCAGCAUCCCUCUGUUUUACCAGAGGCAUGUGAAAAGAAGCUCCAAGGAGCCUCGCUCGGGUGGACGGGGCUGUGCUGUCCCCAGCUUCCCUCUGCCAUGUGUUGCCAUCCCCGUGAGCGUCAGCAGAAACGACCGUGCUCAGAAUUUAU